AGGGAAAGGUGAAAAGAACCCCGGGAGGGGAGUGAAAUAGAACCUGAAACCCUGUACUUACAAGCUGUGGGAGCACAUUACUUGUGUGACCGCGUACUUUUUGUAGAACGGGCCAACGAGUUACGUUAAGUAGCAAGGUUAAGCACUUAAGGUGUGGAGCCGUAGCGAAAGCGAGUCUUAAAUGGGCGAUUUAGUUACUUGGCGUAGACCCGAAACCGGGCGACCUAUCCAUGAGCAGGUUGAAGCGAAAGUAAAAUUUCGUGGAGGACCGAACCCACGAGCGUUGAAAAGCUCGGGGAUGACUUGUGGAUAGCGGUGAAAUUCCAAUCGAGCCCGGAGAUAGCUGGUUCUCCCCGAAAUAGCUUUAGGGCUAGCCUCAAGGUUGAGAGAAGCGGAGGUAGAGCACUGAAUGUCCUAGGGGGUAUUGCACUUACCGAAGACUAUCAAACUCCGAAUGCCGUUUUCUUUUACUUGGGAGUCAGACUGUGGGUGAUAAGAUUCAUAGUCAAAAGGGCAACAGCCCAGAUCGUCAGCUAAGGUCCCUAAAUGUACGUUAAGUGGUAAAGGAUGUGGGAUUGCACAGACAACCAGGAUGUUGGCUUAGAAGCAGCCACUCAUUUAAAGAGUGCGUAAUAGCUCACUGGUCGAGUGAUCCUGCGCCGAAAAUUUCCGGGGCUAAAACGUACUACCGAAGCUACGGCAUCAUUUAUGAUGGGUAGGGGAGCUUCGUAUGCAGGCUGAAGCAUGACCGUAAGGACAUGUGGACAGUAUACGAGUGAGAAUGUUGGCAUGAGUAGCGAGACGUGGGUGAGAAUCCCACGGGCCGUAAACCCAAGGUUUCCAGGGGAAGGUUCGUCCGCCCUGGGUUAGUCGGGACCUAAGCCGAGGCCGAAAGGCGUAGGUGAUGGACAACAGGUUGAUAUUCCUGUACCGCCAAUAAGCGUUUGAGAGAUGGAGUGACACAGUAGGAUAAGCUAACCGUACUGUUGGUUAUGUACGGCUAAGCAUUGAGGCAGUCUAAAUAGGCAAAUCCGUUUAGACAAUGCUAGGAUGUGAUGGGGAAGCCCUUCGGGGCGAAGUAGCUGAUUUCACACUGUCAAGAAAAGCUUCUAUCGAGUUUAAAGGCGCCCGUACCGUAAACCGACACAGGUGGGUGAGGAGAGUAUCCUAAGGCCAGCGAGAGAACUAUUGUUAAGGAACUCGGCAAAAUGACCCCGUAACUUAGGGAGAAGGGGUGCCUGUCUAUGACAGGCCGCAGAGAAUAGGCCCAAGCGACUGUUUACCAAAAACACAGGUUUCUGCUAAGUCGCAAGACGAUGUAUAGGAGCUGACGCCUGCCCGGUGCUGGAAGGUUAAGGGGAUCUGUUAGAGCAAUCGAAGCAGUGAACUUAAGCCCCAGUAAACGGCGGCCGUAACUAUAACGGUCCUAAGGUAGCGAAAUUCCUUGUCGGGUAAGUUCCGACCCGCACGAAAGGCGUAACGAUUUGGGCACUGUCUCAACAACAGACUCGGUGAAAUUGUAGUCCCGGUGAAGAUGCCGGGUACCUGCGACAGGACGGAAAGACCCCAUGGAGCUUUACUGUAGCUUGACGUUGGGUCUUGGUACUACAUGUACAGGAUAGGUGGGAGACUAUGAAGCAUGGACGCCAGUCUGUGUGGAGUCAUCCUUGGGAUACCACCCUUGUAGUACUGGGAUCCUAACCAUAGGCCUUGAAUCAGGUCUUGGAACACCGUCAGGUGGGCAGUUUGACUGGGGCGGUCGCCUCCCAAAAAGUAACGGAGGCGCUCAAAGGUUCCCUCAGUACGGUCGGAAAUCGUACGUAGAGUGUAAAGGCAAAAGAGAGCUUGAUUGCAAGACAUACAGGUCGAGCAAGGACGAAAGUCGGACUUAGUGAUCCGGUGGUACCGCAUGGAAGGGCCAUCGCUCAACGGAUAAAAGCUACCCUGGGGAUAACAGGCU
rnacentral:rRNA from 1 species